UACGGAGGGUGCAAGCGUUAAUCGGAAUUACUGGGCGUAAAGAGCGCGCAGGCGGCUGGCCAAGUCCGAUGUGAAAGCUUCCGGCUUAACUGGAAAAUUGCAUCGGAAACUGGUCGGCUUGAAGGUGGGAGAGGGUAGCGGAAUUCCCGGUGUAGCGGUGAAAUGCGUAGAUAUCUGGAGGAAUACCGGUGGCGAAGGCGGCAUCCUGGACCGACAUUGACGCUGAGGAGCGAAAGCUAGGGGAGCAAACGGG
rnacentral:rRNA from 1 species